CCAGGCACUCUGCGGCAAUGUAACCAGUUAAUGGACUAACUAUUUCCUGCUUAGAUUUUGCGUUCAUAGGGGUAGGUGUUCGCUACAAUAUUCUGUUUCCAGGAAAUGCUAUUUGUGUGUCUAUGCGCUACAUUCUCACUGCUGCAUGCACCAGAAUUUCCCCCAGGGAAGAAUAAUGCCGAACAUCAUAAAGUCAUUGUCAGGAACAACCUCAUUUAGCAUGUUUAAUUUGCACACAAUUACUAUCAAAUACAUGAUGAAUACAUGAUGUGGGUGUGUGUGCAUAUAUAUGUAUGUGUAUUAUGGCUAUUUACAGUCACUCACUUUUUCAUUUCUGGCGUGGUAUGACUGAUACUAGUGCGACAGUAAUUAAUUGUCCGGAGUUAGAAAGUCAAUGUCUGUCUUUAGUUAUCUGCAGGAUGUGCACAUCUCAUUCAUCACAUUGGGUAACAAACCAUCUGAAUAUCCAGGGCAGUUAGAGUCGUGACGCCCUAAUUCACCUCAGCUUGCUUACAGGGUGCUGCAGCCUUCAGCGAUGAGCCUUAGAGAACGUCGAUGGAAGACGAGAUGCUUCUUUGUCGACACCGGAUAAUUCCACCUACCAAGAUGAGCCUGCUUUUACCCUGGUACACGGCCAAUACCUGCCAGAGAAUCUCCUAGCGAAACUCAAGGAAUCCUGAGGGUUCGUCUUGGGAGGUGGGAGGAUCAGAGAGAAGGUCCUGGAGGAAUCUGUGCAAGACAAACAGGGCUCCUGUUGAAAUGCUUGAGAUGGGUGGGUCAAAGUGACGUCACCUGAGGAACGCAGGCCCUCCGGCACUGUAAGCAGUCCUACACUGGGCCCCCACGGGCUAUGAUAUCUUCAUUCAAAGCAUCCUCUCAUGGUCAGCACGGUGGUAUAGCUCUCAGUUCUAUAGGCGCACACCUCAGGAGUUGGGGCUGUGAGUUUGAAUGCUUUCCCAAUUUAUUUAUUUAUUUUUUUGGGGGGAGGGGGGUGAUUCUUCUUAGUAUUCUGGUUUCCUUCUUUGGUCCAAAAACACGCAGGCAGAUGAACUAAUGACUGAAUCCCCCAUCAUGUGUGACCGUGUGCCCCAGUUAUCUUAUCAUGCAGUUCCUGGGAUAGACUCCAGAAUACCACGGCUUGACUGACGUCUGAAACAGCAGGUGAGAUACCUUCUGAGAUCAUUAUUUCAGAACGAUAUACAGUGAUGCGCAAAAUCAGUAAAGUUGCAGUCCAGCACUCUAUGUUUUUCUGAACACUUUAUGCUUUUUGAGUACAUGUAGAAACCAUGUGAUCUCUGGCCACUUAGUUUUGGCUCUGAGGAACCUGCCUUUACUCUACCCUGAACAGAUGGAGUUUCUUCAUAGCCUUAGUUGUUUUGAUUUCUCAAUGGCCAGUGCAAUAACACUGUCAUUCUGUUUACGAAAGAAAAAAAUGAGCAGGUGACCUGUUCCAGGCAAUCCAUUUAGCCACACCCCCAUGCCUCUUUGUUGGCUCUCAUUGGUCCAGUUGUGACCAAUCACAAAUAAGAUAAUUAAAAUAAGAGACUUAAGGAUAAAAAAAAAAGGUGCUAAUCAAUGGUGCUUAAAAACAGAAGAGUUUAAAAGUUUGUUUCAUUACACAGUGUUAUAGUAACAUUGACAAAUAAAACUUUUAAACAGAACUAAUGACUUCCUACACUGGUGUGUGACACUUCACAAGGUAGGAAAUUACCUCAACAGACAAGCCUGAAUGGACUCAUAUGCAAGUAUAACUAGAAGUCUUGUAUGCCCAAUUUGUGCGAAAGCAAAAUACUUUAAUGCUAAUUGGAUUUGCUUCUUAAACUUGGACAGGGCAACAACUAUGGAUUUAUGCUAGCGAGUGUUUUCCACGGUGGAAGCACCAUAUAUAGGAGCUAAACUGGCCAGCAGGAUUACACUGACUGACAACGACACCACAGAAGCAGCGCAGAAGGGAUUUGCUAUAAACACAAUAUUUGUAUUGUUCCCCAGCAACACUUGGGAGUUUUUUGAGAACCGAUUGCCGGUGAAAGGCAGUGACCUGAGCAGAGAGGGUGUGUCUGACAGGCAGCCACAGGAGCUGAGACUGUAACAGGGGGCUAGACCUGAGCUAUGCCUGGCUUUGACGUGAACCUUGCACUUUGUCACGAAAUGCUGCUGCGUGUGCUGUCGUCCCAGUCACCUGCGAGGGCUGGAAUUCAUUUCCCAGAAACGGGAUGAAGUUCCUGGGUGUUAAAACAUGUUCUUUCCUUGUCUGAAACUUCCCUACAAACCCCUCCCAAGAAUGUUUAAAUUCUAUGUUGCUUUGGUAAUAGCAUUUGGACAGGAGGUCUACGGCUGCUGCUGCGGCUAACAGUUAUGUUAAUGAGGCUAAAGCUAUUUAAAGCUAAUUACUAUUGGCAGAACCCAAAUUAACUGAUCCUCACUACUUUGGUACUCUGGCUAUUCUGAUCUCCCAUAGUAAUGUGGCAGCCCCUUUGUAGAUGUGACUCAUCCCCCCCCUUCUUCUUUCCCAUUGGUAUACUCCAGGGCCUCCCAUUGUCCAAAGUGGUACAGACCCACUCAAUGUAAAAAUAUAUAUGCUAACAGCUUGGCUUCAAACAUUAAUGAGGUUCAUUAACCUCAAUAACGGGACCCUGACAUGCUCUGGGUGUGGAGUGAAUAAGUUUAAUCUUUAAAAUCCAUCCUCGUUUAUUAGUUUUUUCACAAGUACACGCAGAAAUUCACCAACGCCUAUAAUGGAAUGAAAUUUCUGCUUGUAUUUUCUAAAUGAGAAAUUCAUCGUUAGGGCAGUGAACCGGCACCCAGGGGCCCAGGGUCCUGUGCCCCCCCCAGGCUCGUUUGGGGAGGCAGCGUAAAUGGGAGGCAGGAAGUGGAGAUUCUAUUAAGAACAUUUAUUAGCCUUUGUCAAAUUAGGACACACAUAGUCACCGUUUUUGGAAAUACAUUCUGAAGGCGACUUGCAUUUUCUCUGACACGAGGUGCCGUUCCUAUAUCCUAUAAUUUCUAUAAUUUUUAUAAGUUCGUUCCUCUAUGGAUGGACCAUGCGGCCAUCAGGCUACACAACAACACAUCAUUAAUUUAACUGAUAGACAUUACAGUUCCUAGCCAUACAUAUAACUAUAACGACUUCUCUCUAUACACCUUUACACAGCUAGACAUCAAGAGUUCAGUGGUACAAAAGUCAGACACCCACUUAACAGUUAACUCUGCAAUCUUUUGAUCGUGUCACAGUUUGCUGGAAUCCUGAAAGUGUGUCUCUGUGCGGGAGCUUUGGGAACAUGACUGAUACAGGGCAAAAUUAGCAUGAAAUGCAUGUGGGCUGAAAUAUGGGCAUUAAAGAGGUUUUAAAUAUAAGAUCCAAGCUGGCAAGCUUUUUAUUUUGGCACAUGUGAUGGGAGUGAAGUCCUGACAGCAGGCCAGAGCAAGUCCUGCAAGUAGCAUGGAAACCGCAGCGGUGAUGUCAUGGGGGCGGAGCUCAUGAUUCAGAUUCCGAUUCCGAAAAACUUUAUUGAUCCCUGAGGAAAUUAUGUGGUUACUGUUCCCGAUAGUUAAAUAACAAAUAAUACAAAUAU